GCUCUUUUAGCUCAAUUGGUUAGAGCACCCGUUUAGUAAGCGGGAGGUUUCGAGUUCAACUCUCGACAAGAGCA
rnacentral:tRNA from 1 species